rnacentral:rRNA from 1 species
GACAGAGGAUGCAAGCGUUAUCCGGAAUUAUUGGGCGUAAAGAGCUCGUAGGCGGUUUGUCGCGUCUGCCGUGAAAGUCCGGGGCUCAACCUCGGGCCUGCAGUGGGUACGGGCAGACUAGAGUGCGGUAGGGGAGAUUGGAAUUCCUGGUGUAGCGGUGGAAUGCGCAGAUAUCAGGAGGAACACCAAUGGCGAAGGCAGAUCUCUGGGCCGUAACUGACGCUGAGGAGCGAAAGCAUGGGGAGCGAACAGG